AUUGAACGCUGGCGGCAUGCUUUAUACAUGCAAGUCGUGCGGCAGCGCGGGGGCAACUCUGGCGGCGAGCGGCGAACGGGUGAGUAAUACAUAGGAACGUAUCCUGAAAGUGGGGGAUAGCUCGGCGAAAGCCGGAUUAAUACCGCAUACGCUCCACGGAGGAAAGCGAGGGGAUCGCAAGACCUUGCGUUUCUGGAGCGGCCUAUGUCUGAUUAGCUAGNGGCGGGGUAAUAGCCCACCAAGGCGACGAUCAGUAGCUGGUCUGAGAGGAUGAUCAGCCACACUGGGACUGAGACACGGCCCAGACUCCUACGGGAGGCAGCAGUAGGGAAUUUUGGACAAGUGGGGCAACCCUGAUCCAGCCAUGCCGCGUGAGUGAAGAAGGCC
rnacentral:rRNA from 1 species